GGUGUUCAGGAUGCCAGGGAUGAUGGGAAGCCUGUUCUUGUUUAUCGGUUUGUACGGAACUUCACCCGCGGUAGAGUACGGCCUGAGAAUUUUGUUCCAGCACCGGUGUGAGGUUUGGAGUGCAUAAUGAGGAGAAAUAAAAACAGAAAGAUCUCCAGAAAGAAGCCAUGGGUGGAGAACAGAGGGCGACUAGAUUAAAUGGAAAGAAUGCCCAGGCAUCCCAUUGCCUCCCUUUGACGUUCCAGAACUUCAUCAAGACAGUGAUGAGCUACAUGUACACCUGGAGGAGAGUUCAGGAUCAAGCUCAGAAGCGCACAGCUGCCAGCAAGCAGUCUACUACUGAACUGCACCAUCUCUCCAGCCUGUGCUUACUCUUGAAUAGCCCCAAAGUAGUCAAUGGUAUGGCAAAAUAAACCUCCAUUUCAUUUAGAUUUUUAUAGUAUUUUUUGCCACUUAAAUUAUUUUAUGUAGUUGAGUAUGAUUUUUUUUCCCCCUAAGGAAUUCUAUGUAUCUCAAUUUCAAGAGUCUUCAGCCUUUAUGUUAUACAUAAUUUCCUAUAGAUUUCAAAGUUGCUUUAAUAAAAAGUUUAAUGUUAAAA
rnacentral:lncRNA from 1 species